rnacentral:lncRNA from 1 species
UAUCUCCAAUUCAGGUCUCAUUUAUUCAAGAUGUUCCUAAUUGCUUUCAAUCUCAUUUUAAUGGUACUUUCAUCGAUAAAAAAUAUUUUUAAGAAUAAUUUGAAGGAUAAUAGUAUAUUCUAAUGUUUCAAUGUUGAGUUGUUAUCAAAAUUAUUCUUAAGGUCAGCAAGUUUGACUAUUGCAAUUAUAUUUUAGAGAAAGAUGGUACCAUGGUAUAGAUAAUAUAAGAAUUUGAUUAAGAACAGCCACCCGUAGA